UCCAGCCUUCCGUCUUCAAGCAACCAUCCUCAAAUUUCAUUUGGACUUGUACUCCUCCCUCAAUCUCUAAACCACUUUAAGCCUAUCAGCCCAUUAUCCUUCCCUGGCCACAAGUAUUGGUUCCAGGGUGGAAUGUGAGCAAAAGUGCUAAAUCAGUGAAUUUUAGAUGUGUUGUGGGGGGUACUUGAAAGAGCUCACUAUUUCUUAUUGCCUUUAUCCUCAGAGGCUUGAGACCCUGGAGUUAGUACAGUCUCUUGCCACCACCAGGACUGAAAAAGGAAGCAGCAUUGAAGAGGCAGAGCUGGGAGACGGAGAGAAACUGCUGGCAUGAUUUGAGCUCAGGAUUCUUUGAAUUGCAAGUCACUGAAACCCCAAUCCAAAUUUGCUUUAAGAAAAAAUCUACCGACUCAAACAAGACAGAGAUAUUUUAGAUUCAAGCAAGGAUUGAUCCAGAGCUUGAAUGACUUUUACCCAAGAGUUUCUGGUUUUGUUUUUGUCCUUACCAUUUCUCAACUUGACGUCCUCAGUGUUUUCAUGGUUUCAGACUGCCUGCCAGAAUCCAAGUAGUCCUCAAAAGUGCUAAUGGAUUGACUUGGCUCACACUGAAUUAACUACAAGUGUUAAAGGAAUGCGAUAUGUUGAUUGGUGUAGGCUUUGGUCACAUGUUCUACCCCUAGAAUUAGGAAUACAAUCAACUGUAUGAGGUCCACAUGAGCUUAGACCAGGGGAGAGGAGAUUCCACCACCAGAAAACCUGGAUGCUAAACACCACGACCAAUUCCUACCAUCCUUGAUGUGGCACUCAACUUAGUGAGACUGGAAAUAAUUUCAUACAAGCUGUCCACAAGAAUAAGAGAUUGAUGCUCUAGGUGAAUAAAAGUAAGAGUUGGAGAUUUAAUGGAUGAGCAGCAAGGAAUGAGAGGAAGAAUGUUAUAUAUGUGAACU
rnacentral:lncRNA from 10 species